rnacentral:rRNA from 1 species
GAGUUUGAUCAUGGCUCAGAUUGAACGCUGGCGGCAGGCCUAACACAUGCAAGUCGAACGGUAACAGGAAGAAGCUUGCUUCUUUGCUGACGAGUGGCGGACGGGUGAGUAAUGUCUGGGAAACUGCCUGAUGGAGGGGGAUAACUACUGGAAACGGUAGCUAAUACCGCAUAACGUCGCAAGACCAAAGAGGGGGACCUUCGGGCCUCUUGCCAUCGGAUGUGCCCAGAUGGGAUUAGCUAGUAGGUGGGGUAACGGCUCACCUAGGCGACGAUCCCUAGCUGGUCUGAGAGGAUGACCAGCCACACUGGAACUGAGACACGGUCCAGACUCCUACGGGAGGCAGCAGUGGGGAAUAUUGCACAAUGGGCGCAAGCCUGAUGCAGCCAUGCCGCGUGUAUGAAGAAGGCCUUCGGGUUGUAAAGUACUUUCAGCGGGGAGGAAGGGAGUAAAGUUAAUACCUUUGCUCAUUGACGUUACCCGCAGAAGAAGCACCGGCUAACUCCGUGCCAGCAGCCGCGGUAAUACGGAGGGUGCAAGCGUUAAUCGGAAUUACUGGGCGUAAAGCGCACGCAGGCGGUUUGUUAAGUCAGAUGUGAAAUCCCCGGGCUCAACCUGGGAACUGCAUCUGAUACUGGCAAGCUUGAGUCUCGUAGAGGGGGGUAGAAUUCCAGGUGUAGCGGUGAAAUGCGUAGAGAUCUGGAGGAAUACCGGUGGCGAAGGCGGCCCCCUGGACGAAGACUGACGCUCAGGUGCGAAAGCGUGGGGAGCAAACAGGAAUAGAUACCCUGGUAGUCCACGCCGUAAACGAUGUCGACUUGGAGGUUGUGCCCUUGAGGCGUGGCUUCCGGAGCUAACGCGUUAAGUCGACCGCCUGAGGAGUACGGCCGCAAGGUUAAAACUCAAAUGAAUUGACGGGGGCCCGCACAAGCGGUGGAGCAUGUGGUUUAAUUCGAUGCAACGCGAAGAACCUUACCUGGUCUUGACAUCCACGGAAGUUUUCAGAGAUGAGAAUGUGCCUUCGGGAACCGUGAGACAGGUGCUGCAUGGCUGUCGUCAGCUCGUGUUGUGAAAUGUUGGGUUAAGUCCCGCAACGAGCGCAACCCUUAUCCUUUGUUGCCAGCGGUCCGGCCGGGAACUCAAAGGAGACUGCCAGUGAUAAACUGGAGGAAGGUGGGGAUGACGUCAAGUCAUCAUGGCCCUUACGACCAGGGCUACACACGUGCUACAAUGGCGCAUACAAAGAGAAGCGACCUCGCGAGAGCAAGCGGACCUCAUAAAGUGCGUCGUAGUCCGGAUUGGAGUCUGCAACUCGACUCCAUGAAGUCGGAAUCGCUAGUAAUCGUGGAUCAGAAUGCCACGGUGAAUACGUUCCCGGGCCUUGUACACACCGCCCGUCACACCAUGGGAGUGGGUUGCAAAAGAAGUAGGUAGCUUAACCUUCGGGAGGGCGCUUACCACUUUGUGAUUCAUGACUGGGGUGAAGUCGUAACAAGGUA